rnacentral:rRNA from 1 species
AUUGAACGCUGGCGGCAUGCCUUACACAUGCAAGUCGAACGGCAGCACGGGAGCAAUUCUGGUGGCGAGUGGCGAACGGGUGAGUAAAGUAUCGGAACGUGCCCAGUCGUGGGGGAUAACGUAGCGAAAGUUACGCUAAUACCGCAUACGAUCUAUGGAUGAAAGCGGGGGAUCGCAAGACCUCGCGCGAUUGGAGCGGCCGAUAGCAGAUUAGGGAGUUGGUGGGGUAAAGGCUCACCAAGCCGACGAUCUGUAGCUGGUCUGAGAGGACGACCAGCCACACUGGGACUGAGACACGGCCCAGACUCCUACGGGAGGCAGCAGUGGGGAAUUUUGGACAAUGGGCGCAAGCCUGAUCCAGCCAUGCCGCGUGCAGGAUGAAGGCCUUCGGGUUGUAAACUGCUUUUGUACGGAACGAAAAGGUUUGACUUAAUACGUUGGACUCAUGACGGUACCGUAAGAAUAAGCACCGGCUAACUACGUGCCAGCCGCCGCCGUAA